rnacentral:rRNA from 1 species
CUACGGGACGCUGCAGUCGAGAAUCUUCCGCAAUGGACGAAAGUCUGACGGAGCGACGCCGCGUGCGGGAUGAAGGCCUUCGGGUUGUAAACCGCUGUCAGUGGGGAGGAAAUGCAUCAGGGUUCUCCCUGGUGUUUGACCGAUCCGCAGAGGAAGCGCAGGCUAAGUUCGUGCCAGCAGCCGCGGUAACACGAACUGCGCGGACGUUAUUCGGAAUCACUGGGCUUAAAGAGUUCGUAGGCGGCCUUUCAAGUCGGGUGUGAAAUCCCUCGGCUCAACCGAGGAAUUGCGCCUGAUACUGUUGGGCUUGAGGGGGAUAGGGGUGAGCGGAACUGAUGGUGGAGCGGUGAAAUGCGUUGAUAUCAUCAGGAACACCGGUGGCGAAGGCGGCUCACUGGAUCUCUUCUGACGCUGAGGAACGAAAGCUAGGGGAGCGAACGGGAUUAGAUACCCGCGUAGUC